rnacentral:rRNA from 1 species
GACGAACGCUGGCGGCGUGCCUAAUACAUGCAAGUAGAACGCUGAAGGAGGAGCUUGCUCUUCUGGAUGAGUUGCGAACGGGUGAGUAACGCGUAGGUAACCUGCCUGGUAGCGGGGGAUAACUAUUGGAAACGAUAGCUAAUACCGCAUAACAGUAGAUGUUGCAUGACAUUUACUUAAAAGGUGCAAUUGCAUCACUACCAGAUGGACCUGCGUUGUAUUAGCUAGUUGGUGGGGUAACGGCUCACCAAGGCGACGAUACAUAGCCGACCUGAGAGGGUGAUCGGCCACACUGGGACUGAGACACGGCCCAGACUCCUACGGGAGGCAGCAGUAGGGAAUCUUCGGCAAUGGACGGAAGUCUGACCGAGCAACGCCGCGUGAGUGAAGAAGGUUUUCGGAUCGUAAAGCUCUGUUGUAAGAGAAGAACGAGUGUGAGAGUGGAAAGUGCAAACUGUGACGGUAUCUGACCAGAAAGGGACGGCGAACUACGU